rnacentral:rRNA from 2 species
GUAAUAGCUCACUGGUCGAGUCGGCCUGCGCGGAAGAUGUAACGGGGCUAAACCAUGCACCGAAGCUGCGGCAGCGAACGUAUCACUUAAAGCGAUUCAGCGGGUUACGAUUGACGGAGCGAAGCGACGUCAAAGCGUAUACAAAGUCGAGUCGGUUUAAGGAUACGUUCGUUGGGUAGGGGAGCGUUCUGUAAGCCUGCGAAGGUGGCCUGUGAGGGUUGCUGGAGGUAUCAGAAGUGCGAAUGCUGACAUAAGUAACGAUAAAGCGGGUGAAAAG